rnacentral:rRNA from 1 species
GACGAACGCUGGCGGCGUGCUUAACACAUGCAAGUCGAGCGGUAAGGCCCUUUCGGGGGUACACGAGCGGCGAACGGGUGAGUAACACGUGGGUGACCUGCCCUCAGCUCUGGGAUAAGCCUGGGAAACCGGGUCUAAUACUGGAUAUGACUCCAUGACGCAUGUUGUGGGGUGGAAAGCCUUGUGCGGCUGAGGAUGGGCCCGCGGCCUAUCAGCUUGUUGGUGGGGUGAUGGCCUACCAAGGCGACGACGGGUAGCCGGCCUGAGAGGGCGACCGGCCACACUGGGACUGAGACACGGCCCAGACUCCUACGGGAGGGCAGCAGUGGGGAAUCUUGCGCAAUGGGCGAAAGCCUGACGCAGCGACGCCGCGUGAGGGACGAAGAUCUAAGGAUUGUAAACCUCUGUUAGGAGGGACGAAUGAUUCCGUAACGAACUUACGGAAUGUGACGGUACCUCCAGAGAAAGCCCCGGCUAACUCCGUGCCAG